AAUCACCAUGAAUGUGGCUUGUUGGAACAUUCCCACAGCCCAGGAUGAAGGAGGUGGCUCCAAACAGCUUGGAAUGUUGGUGCGCUCUGUGUUUGGUGUAACAGAGCCGGGCAGACCUGUGCUGCUGUCUGAGCUGCAGAACAGAUGACUCAGAAAAGACUCUCAAUCCGGCGCUCGUUUCUCAGCAGCCAUGCUGCCACAUCCUGCGUGCCUGUGAUUAAAGCUGCAUUCACUCCUGACAAGAGAUGAUUAAAUGCAGCCAGAUGAUUUCAGCCAUCCCAGCCCGUUGUGGUUCUCUGAUUAUUGGUGUGUUUGAACAUCUCACAAAUGUGAAUGAAUGUGUUUACGCAGCAGCUAUCGUAAAGCA